rnacentral:lncRNA from 1 species
AACUGCGUAACCCACUCCAGUCAGUAGAUGGCGAUGAGCGUCUUUCAGGUGAUGCUUCUUGCGUGACGUAUAAUGGACUGGACGGGACGCUUCUUCAGGAACAACAACACGGAUACUAUUUCAACCAUCUCGGAAGAGGAUGUCUGCUGUACGAAGAAAGAAGCUCUAGAGAUGAACAUUGUCGUGAAAGAAGAAGAAGAGGUGGAUAUUACAGUGAAAGAAGAGAAUGAACCUUUUAGAGAAGAAGAGGAUGCUAUCUCAAUAAAGGUGAAGGAGGAAGACGUUUUGGGAGUGAAAGAGGAGACAGAAUAUCAGAUUAACACCAGAGAGAGACAUGACUAUUAUGGAUCCUCUGGGGAGCCUCAACAACAUCCUGAUGCUGAUGAGACAGAGAAGAGUCUCUCCAGAUCAGAACACCAGAUGGACAACGCUAGCCCUUCCGCACUCCCGGAGUCCCGGUGUCGUGCCUCUCCCGGUAGCAACUUACUGCUGGGUAUGAAGAGGUUGUCUGUGCAGCUGGUGGACUGCAGGAAAACAACGGGGCUGAGUGGAACUGUGAGAGGAGGAGAAGAGAAGAAAGGAUCAGAUUUGACACAUCAAAGUAAGUGCUGUAGUUUAGUUUGA